AAUUCUUAAAAACUAAAACUAACUCACCAUCACCCUCACCCAAAAUCCCUAAUUUUAAUCUCCCAAAAUCCCAAACGUUCUAGUGUCGAUAGCCCAACACCCUCGCCAGUCACAACCGUCCGGUGUCCACUAGGUAAAUAGUGCAGUGUUCUGUUUUAUUUUUAUCUGGCAACGGGACAACUUUUUUUUACCAAUCCCUUUCUAUUUUGAAUUUUUUUGGUUAUAUUUCUGGUUGUAAAAUCUUUUUUGUUAUCAUUUUCGUCAAUGAAUUAAAAUUGGUUUUUGUCUUCAUUCUUUUUUUUUGGUGCGUUUAUCUGCAAAUGGAUAAAUAAAAUAGAGGAGUAUUGAGGAUUGCAUCUGGGUGAUAGAGCUUUUGUGGAAAAAGAAGGGACUCAUCUCUUUUAAAAGCUGGGCAUUGGGGAUAUCGAAUUGGGGUCUGGUUAGGCUUUAGGAUGUUUUUGUUCUGGGUUAGGAAGAGUAAUUUCUUCUAGUUUGAUUUAUUGAAUUCUGUUCUAAGUUGUUGUUUUCUUAAUAGCUUUGUACAUACAGUUGGUUGAUGCCCAAUUCUUAUAAAAAGCCCCAGAUUAUUCUUUCAAAAAAAAAAGAGUUAUAUUUAUUAGUUUUCUG
rnacentral:lncRNA from 1 species